AUGGCCAUGAGUAUGGCAACCGGCGCCAUGGGCUCCCUGCUGCCCAAGCUGGUCAAGCUCCUCAAGGAGGAGUACAAGCUCAAGGAGAGCGUCAAGGAAGGCGUCCGAUCUCUUGAGGAAGAGAUGAAGAGCAUGCAAGCUGCGCUCCGCAUGGUGGGCGAGGUGCCGCGGGACCAGCUCAACGAGCACGUCAAGAUCUGGGCAGCCGAGGUGAGGGAACUCUCCUUCAAGAUGGAGGACAUCGUCGACAAGUUCUUUGUGCGUGUCGAUGACGGCUCUGAGCCUGCUGCCAGUCCGAAGAAGCUCAAACGGCUCACCAAAAAGAUGGUCGGCCUGUUCACCAAGGGGAAGGCCCGCCAUGAGAUCUCCGAUGCAAUCAAGAGCAUCAAUAAGAAAGUACAAGAGGUUGCUGAUAGGCGUGCAAGGUACAAUGUUGACAAUAUUGUCGCCAGGCCUGCUGCUGUGACUCCCAUCGAUCCUCGCCUUGGGGCUCUAUACAAGGAAGUGACAGAUCUUGUUGGCAUUACGGGCACAAGGGAUAAAGAGAUAAUAAAGUUGCUCUCAGAGGGGGACGACGUGUCCAAGAAAAAGUUGAAGAUCAUCUCUGUUGUUGGAUUUGGAGGACUGGGCAAGACAACUCUUGUCAAAACAGUUUAUGACAAGAUCAAGGGAGAUUUCGAGUGCAGGGCUUUUGUUCCUGUCGGUCGAAAUGCUAAUGCGAAGGAGGUUUUCAUGGACAUCCUGCAUGAGCUUGAUCCUCAAAAGGACAAAGGUCAGCUCACCAUGUUGAAUGAAAGACAACUUAUUGACAAAAUCCAACUACGUCUCGAGAACAAGAGGUACCUCGUUGUAAUUGAUGAUAUAUGGGAUGGAAACUUGUGGACAGUUAUAAACUGGGCAUUCUCCAACAACAACACUUUGGGUAGUCGGCUAAUCACGACAACUCGUAAAGUCGAUGUAGCUGAAUUAUGUUGCACAUCUCCUAAUGGUUCAGUCUAUCAAAUGAAACCUCUUAGUGCUGAUGAUUCCAAACGUCUCUUCUAUAGAAGGUUAUUUUCUCAUGAGAGUGGAUGUCCUCUUGAAUUUGAAGAAGUGUCCAUGGAUAUAUUGAAGAAAUGUGGUGGAGUACCAUUGGCAAUUAUUACAAUAGCUAGUUCUCUGUCUAGUGGCCAGCAGGUAAAGCCAAAGGAUGAGUGGCAUGUUUUGCUAGAGUCUAUUGGCCGUGGACUUACCGAAGACCCCAGUGUAGAGGAGAUGUUGAGGAUACUAUCGUUUAGCUACUAUGACCUGCCUGCUUAUCUGAAGACAUGCUUACUGUAUCUAAGCAUGUUUCCGGAGGAUCACAAGAUCAUGAAAAAUCAAUUGAUAUGGAUGUGGAUUGCCGAGGGUUUUAUCCAAUGUGAAACAACACAAUCUAGUCUCUUUGAGAUUGGAGAAAAUUACUUCAAUGAGCUUGUGAACAGAAGCCUUCUCCAGCCAGUAUAUGUUAAUAAUAUGUCUGGCCAUGUACAUGCCUGUCGUGUGCACGACAGUGUGCUGGAUCUAAUUUGUCUUUUGGCAAGGGAAGAGAACUUUGUUAGUGUAUCGAAUGGUAGCAUCUCAUCUCAGGGCAAUGUCCGCAGGCUGUCCCUCCAGAAGAUUAUCAAAGAAGAACAUGAAACCACACCUCUUGAAUCUGUGAGUAUGCUACAAGUGAGGUCCAUUGCAACAUUUGAACCUGCUAUGGGCCUGAUGUAUCAUCUCUCAAGCUUUGUUGUUUUACGUGUAUUGAAUUUGAGUACAUGCCAACUUUAUGAUCAUAACCUUUGGGGGUUGUGGAGUUUAGUUCACCUGAGGUACCUAGGGCUAUCUGAUACACAACUUUGGGAGCUCCCAGAAGAGGUUGGAAAGUUGCGGUAUUUGCAGGUGUUGGAUUUGAGUGGAAACCUUAGUAUGAAACAACUGCCAUCGAGUAUUACUAAACUGAGAAGAUUGAUGUGCCUACUUUAUGUGAAAACAUGCAAUCGAUUUCCAGAUGAGAUUGGAAACCUGACAUCAAUGGAAGAGUUGAGUUGUAUCCAUGUUGACUCUCUAAACAUUGUGAAAGAGAUGGGCAACUUGAAAAGAUUGAGGAAGUUUGAAGUUGAGUUUGAGCAUUUGAGCUUGGAGUUGCAGGAAGCUUUUUUGAAGUCACUAGGGGAAAUGUCCAACGUCCAAAGUGUAACUAUUACAAUUGAUGGUAGAUAUAAAAUGAUGGAUCUCUUUGGGGAAAAGUGGGUUCCCCCUCGAGGUCUCCGGGAAUUGAAAUCAUGCUUUGGGAGAGAAUUUAGAUUCUCUAGGAUGCCAGCAUGGAUAAGAGAGAACCCCUCGCAGCUGGCGCAGCUCUCACACUUAUUCAUUGCUGUGAAGGAGGUGCAACAGGUUGAUCUGAGACUGCUUGGAAGGUUGCCGGCUCUUGUUAGUCUCUUUUUGAAGAGCCUCCGCCAUGGGCCGCUACUAAUUGACGCUGAUGGGUUCCGUUGUCUAACAGAAUUCACCUUAUGGUCCAGUUCGCCGGGACAAGUCAUGUUCCAGUCAGGAGCUUUGCCCAUGGUGGAUUUGAUUAUUUUCCGUACCGGCCUGCCGGUCGUUGGUGAUUGGGUUGACAUGGGCAUUGAGAACCUGCAGUCGCUUCGGUUGGUCAAUGUCGAAAUCUGCAUUUCGCCAAUGGAAUGUGACUAUGAGGCCGCCCACAAAGUGUAUUCCGUACUAGAGAAUGCAUUGCCUGCCCAUCCUAACAGCCCUAAGUAUGUUGUCCGCAUAACAGUCAACGACAGUGACGAGAACGAGUCAAAGGGUGGUGACGACGACGAGUGGGAGUGA
rnacentral:rRNA from 1 species